AGACAAUGAAUAUUAUAAUGCAUUAUUUGAAGUAUUUGAUGUGUUCAAAUUUUUCAUAAUAAACAAUUAAAUUUGAUGUCUUUUAUUAUUUUUCACACCCCAUUCAUUUUUGAAAUUGAUAAGAACAAAACCUCCAGUCAAGAAGAGAAAAAAAAAAUGAGUUGGAGACAAACAUGGUCACAACCCAAAAAUGACAAACAAAUAGCAGCUUCACACAUGUUAGAACUACUAUAAAGGUCGUCUCUAUUUAAGCUAGCAAAAACUUAGUUCUCUGUGUCUACCUUCUUGUUCAAUUCAAGUAAUACCUAUUCAUUUUGAAUCUUAAUUUAAAGGUCAGGUCACC
rnacentral:lncRNA from 1 species